rnacentral:tRNA from 1 species
ACAGUGGUGGUUGAGUGGUAGAAUUCUCACCUUCCAUGUAGGAGACCAGGGUUUGAUUCCUGGCCAAUGCA